UGAAAAUUGUUCCCGGAAAAAUGGGUUCAGCUGUUAUCGUGCCUGUCAGAGUCUUCCCAUGGGAAGUGUGGAUUCUCAGUGACACUCUGAUAUGUGGGGGCACAUGAAAUGGAUUGCAGUCAGACCUUGAACUUCAAAUUAGUGGACAAUGGCUCUGUGGAGAUACCAACUAAUUUCCUCCCUACAGGAAUAUUGUACAGUCUGACAGGCCAAGAGCAUCCAUUAUUUUUAAUUGGAGAGAAAAAUGACGCAGUUAGAGUGACACACCACAUAUCCAUGGCCUAACUUUGUGAUGAGGAGGAAAUCUGCUAGCAAAGUGGACUUGCGUUUUGUAUUCAGUUCCUUUUCACACCGACGGGAAGAGGUGAGGAGAGAAACGUCUAAAUGUCAGACAGUCAGUAAGAAGGAGACUGCUGUUUCUCAGCAGAGGUAAUUGGAUGGACCUUUCUCAACCCUGGACCAGGGAGUGAAGGCGCCUUCCAGAUAUCGUGGGUUGUUGUCACCUUUUUAUGCAAAAGCUCCGCUUUCCAGAUGAACUGCAUAAGAAGACAAUUGAGAAAUGAUAGUUUCCACAUCAACACAAGAAGUAGGAAAUCCACAUAUCAUCAGGGGCCAGAAGUGACCGAAGCAGUCUUCCCUGGUGGCACUGUGAGUAAGAAUCCACCUGCCAAUCAAUGCAGAGGACAGGAGUUAACCCCUGGCCUGGGAAGAUCCCACAUGCUGCAGAGCAGCUCAGCCUGAGUGCACCACAAUUACUGAAUCCACACUCUAGAACACUUGAGCUGCAAUUGCUGACGGCCCCUCAAGCCUAGAGCUCCGUAAUGAGAGAAGCCACCGUAAUGAGAAGCCCACGUACCACUAGAGAGUCGCCCCAGCUUGCUGCAACUAGAGAAAGCCCAUGAGCAGCAACAAAGACCCAGUGCAUCCAAAAAUAAAUUUGAAGAAAAUUAAAAAAGAAAAAAGAAG
rnacentral:lncRNA from 1 species